rnacentral:rRNA from 1 species
GAUGAACGCUGGCGGCGUGCCUAAUACAUGCAAGUCGAGCGGACGGACGAGAAGCUUGCUUCUCUGAUGUUAGCGGCGGACGGGUGAGUCACACGUGGAUAACCUACCUAUAAUACUGGGAUAACUUCGGGAAACCGGAGCUAAUACCGGAUAAUAUUUUGAACCGCAUGGUUCAAAAGUGAAAUACGGUCUUGCUGUCACUUAUAGAUGGAUCCGCGCUGCAUUAGCUAGUUGGUAAGGUAACGGGUUACCAAGGCAACGAUGCAUAGCCGACCUGAGAGGGUGAUAGGCGACACUGGAAGGUGGACGGGGACCAUGCGCCUACGGGAGGCAGCAGUAGGGAAUCGUACGCAAUGGGCGAAAGCAUUACGGAGCAACGCGGCGCGUGAGACGAAGGUGUUCGGAUCGGAAAAAUCUGUUAUGAGGGAAGAACAUAUGUGGAAGUAAAUGAGCACAUCUUGACGGUACCUAAUCAGAAAGCCACGGCUAACUACGUG